rnacentral:rRNA from 1 species
AUGCCGCGUGUGUGAUGAAGGUCUUAGGAUCGUAAAGCACUUUCGCCAGGGAUGAUAAUGACAGUACCUGGUAAAGAAACCCCGGCUAACUCCGUGCCAGCAGCCGCGGUAAUACGGAGGGGGUUAGCGUUGUUCGGAAUUACUGGGCGUAAAGCGCGCGUAGGCGGAUUGGAAAGUUGGGGGUGAAAUCCCGGGGCUCAACCCCGGAACUGCCUCCAAAACUAUCAGUCUAGAGUUCGAGAGAGGUGAGUGGAAUUCCAAGUGUAGAGGUGAAAUUCGUAGAUAUUUGGAGGAACACCAGUGGCGAAGGCGGCUCACUGGCUCGAUACUGACGCUGAGGUGCGAAAGUGUGGGGAGCAAACAGGAUUAGAUACCCUGGUAGUCCACACCGUAAACGAUGAAUGCCAGUCGUCGGGCAGUAUACUGUUCGGUGACACACCUAACGGAUUAAGCAUUCCGCCUGGGGAGUACGGUCGCAAGAUUAAAACUCAAAGG